GGCUUUGUGCAGUGGCAGUGUCGUAGCCACUAUGGUUUAUCUGAGGCAUGAAUAUUGCCAGUUGAAAACUUUUACCAAUAUCCAUCAGGAUGACUUGUAAUAUAGUUGGCAUUGGCAAUUUUUGACAGUCUCUACAGAGA
rnacentral:snRNA from 1 species